AGCCAUCAGUGAGUGCCGAGCAGCUGACGGUGGACCUGGUAAUUACCUGUGAGAAGGUGGGCACCACCCAGCCCCUCUGACCACAGCAGCAAAGACCAGUGCCAUGUCUUGCCUGCCCAGUCCCUUGCUGUCAUGCAGACCCCCUCAUAGAAAGUGAGCGACAUAACCUCCUGACUGAGCUGGUCCAGGAGGUGGUGGUCCUGCAAUGCCUAUGAGCGAUGGGACAACAACCAAAUCCCUGGCCCACAGCUGCGCUACCUCACCUCCCACACAACAGAGGAGGACGUGCUACUCUCACUUGGGGCCUUGGAGCUGGAGAACACAAAGGAAGAACAAACAUCAGCAGACCUGAUGGUUCUUACGAGGCUGUUUGUGACAAGCUACACUAACUAUCUAAUCAAAGGUGGAAGAUGAGGGACAGCAAGAUGAAGAAGCGUCUCUCAGCCCUUCCUCUCGGGUGCCGGCUUUGUCAAACUCUUCAUGGAAAUUUGCACUGACCUCAUCAUGCCAGAGACUGGGCAUGCACAAGGCCACCCAUUGUAGUAGCAGUGUUGUGUUCCCCCAGUGACCUGCCGACCACUGUGCUGCUGAUCAAGCUUGUGGAGGAGGGAGACAGUGCGAUGGGCACAGUCAUGCUGCUCAACUUUCUCAAUGCUUGGAAGGUCCAGGAGAAAGCUGCAACAUGGACGAUGCCUUUUCUUGGAAAAAUAUGUUUUGGAGCCCAACACCACAGAGGUUGCCAGGAGUGAAAUUUUUAUAUUCAAAAGAGCCGUCCAGCUGCCCCGGAGAGCCCAGCGACCACACCCUGCAAGACAGCCUGCUCAUCCUGGGACACACACAGCCUCACCCUUCAGGCAGGAGACUGACGGGACGAGAACAACAACAACAACAACAACAAGAGGAGGAGGAGGAGGGUGGUGGUACACAGGAGUGACUGGUGAGUGUU